rnacentral:rRNA from 1 species
AGAGUUUGAUCCUGGCUCAGAUUGAACGCUGGCGGCAUGCCUAACACAUGCAAGUCGAACGCGAAAGCGCCUUCGGGUGUGAGUAGAGUGGCGGACGGGUGAGUAACGCGUGGGAAUCUGCCCUGCAGUGGGGGACAACCCGGGGAAACCCGGGCUAAUACCGCAUACGUCUUACGAGAGAAAGGGGGCUUCGGCUCUCGCUGCAGGAUGAGCCCGCGUCCGAUUAGCUUGUUGGUGGGGUAACGGCCUACCGAGGCGACGAUCGGUAGCUGGUCUGAGAGGAUGAUCCCCCACACUGGUACUGAGACACGGACCAGACUCCUACGGGAGGCAGCAGUAAGGAAUAUUGGUCAAUGGGCGAAAGCCUGAACCAGCCAUGCCGCGUGCAGGAAGACAGCCUUAUGGGUUGUAAACUGCUUUUAUACAGGAAUAAACCCCCAUUCGUGAAUGGGGCUGAAGGUACUGUAAGAAUAAGGACCGGCUAACUCCGUGCCAGCAGCCGCGGUAAUACGGAGGGUCCAAGCGUUAUCCGGAUUUAUUGGGUUUAAAGGGUGCGCAGGCGGACCUAUAAGUCAGUGGUGAAAUCCCGGGGCUCAACUCCGGAACUGCCAUUGAUACUGUAGGUCUUGAGUUUGGUUGAAGUGGGCGGAAUGUAGCAUGUAGCGGUGAAAUGCAUAGAUAUGCUACAGAACACCGAUCGCGAAGGCAGCUCACUAAACCAAAACUGACGCUCAGGCACGAAAGCGUGGGUAGCGAACAGGAUUAGAUACCCUGGUAGUCACGCCGUAAACGAUGAUCACUCGUUGUUGGCGAUACACAGUCAGUGACCAAGCGAAAGCGAUAAGUGAUCCACCUGGGGAGUACGUUCGCAAGAAUGAAACUCAAAGGAAUUGACGGGGGCCCGCACAAGCGGUGGAGCAUGUGGUUUAAUUCGAUGAUACGCGAGGAACCUUACCUGGGCUCAAAUGUAAGUUGACGUAUGGUGAAAGCCAUAUUUCUUCGGACAAUUUACAAGGUGCUGCAUGGUUGUCGUCAGCUCGUGCCGUGAGGUGUCGGGUUAAGUCCCAUAACGAGCGCAACCCCUAUCAUUAGUUGCCAUCAGGUCAAGCUGGGGACUCUAGUGAAACUGCCUACGCAAGUAGAGAGGAAGGUGGGGAUGACGUCAAAUCAGCACGGCCCUUACGUCCAGGGCUACACACGUGCUACAAUGGCCGGUACAGAGGGCAGCCACCACGCGAGUGGGAGCGAAUCUCGAAAGCCGGUCUCAGUUCGGAUCGAAGUCUGCAACCCGACUUCGUGAAGCUGGAAUCGCUAGUAAUCGCGCAUCAGCCAUGGCGCGGUGAAUACGUU